UGCUUGUGAAAGAGAUCGGAUGUUUUUUUGGAAGUGCCUCGUUUUUUCGGUUGUGCAAAAGAAAUAUACAAAAGUUUUCAGUGAGCAGCAGAAGAAACAUUAAAAAGUGUAAAAAUGGAUAUCGACGAUGAGUUACUUAGAAACCUCUUGAAAUCUUUUGAUUUAGACGAAAUUUUCAACCGACUGAAAGUUUAAUUUUGACGACGAAACAUUGUCCGCUAAUUCAAAAGUUGUAUCUUGGAUUGAAAAAAGUUCUCCUUCGAACUCGUUUUCAGCUGGUUUAAUGAUUGGAAUGUAGUCGUUGAAAAAUGGUCACAAACAUU